rnacentral:rRNA from 1 species
AGCUCCAAUAGCGUAUAUUAAAGUUGUUGCAGUUAAAAAGCUCGUAGUUGAAUUUCUGCUCAUCGGUUGACAGCACAUUCGUGCUUGUUCAAUCGGUGGGCAUCCUUCUAGGCGUUCCUUACGGACACGUUUAGAGCCUUUACUGUGAGAAAAUUAGAGCGUUCCAAGCAAGCGAUUGCUUUGAAUACUACAGCAUGGAAUAAUACUAUAGGACUUUUGUGCCUAUUUGUUGGUGUUAGGCCGAAAGUAAUGAUUAAUAGGGGCAGUUGGGGGCAUUCGUAUUUGACAGCCAGAGGUGAAAUUCGUGGACUUGUCAAAGACGAACUACUGCGAAAGCAUUUGCCAAGGAUGUUCCCA